rnacentral:lncRNA from 1 species
CACCCUUUUCUCCCUCCAUUCAUAUUUGUCAGCAGGACUCCCUCCCUUCCUAUAAUGAAACUGAAGGAGAUUUCCCCCUUUUGUGUUUUAAUGAUGAGAGCCAGGAAGAGAUCACAGAAAGAAAAGACCUCCAGCAUCUCCCUGCUGAGGGCCAGAGAGUCCUGGUUUGGCACAGCAGACCAUCAACCUCAACGUGCUGCACAACUCCCUGACACAUCCAGAGCCAUCAUUUGGUCUCAUUGAAGCCCCACACUGGUGAAGGUUUUAUCACAGUCUCCUCCUACAACAUCACAAACACCAAACUGUCACCCCCGUUCUCCAAAAAGAACCUGAAGAGAUGGAUGAGCAGCUCUGUUGCCUUUCAGAAACUCAGCUUUUCACCCAAGGAAGGAACUGAUGUCACCAGUGGAAAAUCUGUGACAUUUCUGGGAGGAUCUGUGAGCCCGUGGCCACAGUAGGGCACUCCAGAGCCAUCAGAGUCUUGCCAAUAAAAACAGGAGUUGAGCUCGUUUUGGAGUGGCUGUGACCUGGAUUUACUCCCCAAAAGAUUGCACAGUGCCCAGACAAAGUGGCCAGACACACAGAGCCGAGCCACGCUGCAGGACUGCACAGGAUCCCCUGGCACACACUGCCAGGGAUGUUACCAAGAUCCUCAUGAGGGACUGUAUGGCCGUGGUGUGAAGCUCAGGACAGCGUGUUGUGCUGGCUGGUGUGAAGCAGGUGCUCACUUACUCCUCCCCAUGCUGACUAGCAUGUCAAAGUCAAGUGUGUUUGCAUGCAAGUGUCACCCACAAAAUGUGUUCUUCCUGCUUGAUCCAUCCAAUUACAUGUCUGACUUUGCCUGGACUCAGUGGAGAUUGAUAGUGCUGGGAUCAGACUGUGUUCAAGGAAUUGGAAAUCUGAUUUGAGGCAGAGGUGUGGGUUGGCUCUGAAGCUCUCAAGGUUCACAGGCCUCAC